CAGCAGCCACGGUAAUACAGAGGGUGCGAGCGUUAAUCGGAUUUACUGGGCGUAAAGCGUGCGUAGGCGGCUUCUUAAGUCGGAUGUGAAAUCCCUGAGCUUAACUUAGGAAUUGCAUUCGAUACUGGGAAGCUAGAGUAUUGGAGAGGAUGGUAGAAUUCCAGGUGUAGCGGUGAAAUGCGUAGAGAUCUGGAGGAAUACCGAUGGCGAAGGCAGCCAUCUGGCCUAAUACUGACGCUGAGGUACGAAAGCAUGGGGAGCAAACAGGAUUAGAUACCCCCGUAGUCCCUGUCUCUUAUAC
rnacentral:rRNA from 1 species